GGCCGAGACUCUUUGUUGUGGUAUGUUGCAAAAAGACUUAACUUGCUAUUUCUUCUUUCUUCCCAGUAUCAGCAGAAGACAUGGAAUUGCUGGGACAGAAUUAUUGUGCCUGGUUUUAAUUCCAAAGGAGAAGUUGUUACCUUGAGAGACAUCUGUGAUCAUAUCCAGAGGGAGCAUGACCUUGUGCCUCAGAAGUUGCUAUUUGGGGCAGCCACUCUCUAUGAUAAGGAAGAUGAAAUCAAAGAGGAACAGCCUCCUUUCAGCCUGACGGAAUUGAUUCGUAAAAUCACUGGAAAGCCAAUCCCCAAGGAUUGCCGUCUCUUGAUAUUGUCCAUGGUCUGUGAAAACGAAGAACUUGAUGAUGAAUUGCCACCUGUUCAUGUCAUGCUUCAAACCAACCAGUAGUCAGAAAUAAAUUACUUGUGCAACAGAUCAGAAAGGAAGCAAUCUCAUUCAAUCAGACAGAAGCGGUGACAGUGGCUGGUCUGAACACAAAUUAAAUGCAAGAAUGCGCUUUGGUGAAGGGAUGAAGUGAUGUGCCCUCUCCAGUCUACCACUUAAAUUUGCCUGCAGGAGUUAUCCUACUCCUGAGGGCCAUGAACAGAUAAUUUGUUGGAAAUGAAUAUGAAGUGCAUCUUACAGAAGUUCUUUUGUUGUACCCUGAAUCUCACUUCUCCUUAUGUUCCUAUAUCACAUCAGUUGGGUGCCUGGCAACAUUACAUUAACCUGCUCUACUUUGCCAGAAAGUUUAUUGAACUGGCAUCCACCUUGAGCGUUGGUCUAUGAUUUGUAGGCAGCACUGCAAAUGUGGGUGGGGAUUCACCUCGUAGUCCAGCACAGCUGAAAGGCUCCAGGCUAGGAACAUCUACCUUAAAGGAUGGGAUAUUUUCAUUAUCUCAGCACCGAAAGACCUAAUCUUCAACGUUCAACUAGUAUUUCCAAUUAGAUGAGAGCUCAAGGGACACGCCAGGAGAGGUUUUGGAAAGUCAGUUGCAAUUAGAACAGGCAGCGUUGGGCUAGAAGUAGCAAUAAUCAACCAGAGUACCUUCAAGCUUCCAGCUGUCCCUGUAGUUUGAAUAAGUGCAAUGGGAAGAGAGACAUUGGAGCACUGUGAGAUAUUUGAGAGGCGAUAACUUGUGCUGUAGUUGAGGGCAAAAUCUGAUUUUAAAUGCCUUGAUUGUUGAUUAGGCAGCGUGGCGCAAACCAUUGUCUUUUUUCUUACAGUAAGAUAGGAUUAUCAUGGGGAUGAAUGAGACUUUGUAAAUCAUUCAUUAUGCAUGCCGAAAGGAAGAUCAGAAGCUGCCUUAUACAAGGGCUUCAUCAUCUGCCUCGCUACCUAUCUCACUAUUUAACAAUUAUGGGUGGAGUUCUUUUAAGCCCUACGUGCAGAUACCAAGGACUGAAUGGGCAUCUUGCAUUUAAAAUACGUGCUCUCCCAAGGUAGCCUGCUCCCGAUUACACAUUGUUGCCAAUGGAGUUGAUAGUGCCCAUGGCUUUUCAGGAUAAACCACAGCCUCCCUGAUUGUUGGCCACCUGGACUUCAUGAAGGAAACUCACUAUUGCAGAUAGAUCCAGAAGAAAUGUGUGUAUUUAUAAGCAAAUUGCUUUGCUGUAUUGUCCCUAGUUUUAGUUGUUCUGUCCACUCAGAUCCGUCUUCAUUGUGACAGCUCUAUAGAUACCGGUAGUCCUCAACUUAGGACUGUAAUAGAGUCUGCCCAUUAUAGUCAUAAGUCAUGAGGGCUGUAAAGCAGGCUAUCAGGUGACCAAUCUGAUUAUACAAGCUAUCUUUUGCAGCAGUUAAGUGCAGCCAUUGUUCACUGUGAGGUUUUCUUUUUUGCCAAAAGCCACAAGUAAACAUUGGUUUUCAGUGGUCACAUGAUUGCAGGAUGUUGCAAAUGGUCAUAAGUGCGGGCCAGUUGCUGAGGAUUCAAAAUGCAUUCCCAUGAUUGGGAGGGGCCAGCUGUCGUAACUUUGGAACCGGGUUGCAAGUACCUUUUAGGGGAAUCUAUGUAACUUUGAAUGAUCAUUGAGUGAACAGUCGUAAGUUGAGAACUAGCUUAUGUGUAAACUGCUACCUUGCAAACUCCAUCAUCUUUUGCCCCAGCUACUGAAACAUCCAGCUCUUUGAAAUUGGUUUCUCACAACAUUUGAUUUCCUUUCUGAUAAGAAAGAAAACAGUGUGCCAAUAAUGUUAAGAAUUGUUAAGAACAACUUGGCUGACAAUUCCGUGUCUGUGGUUUGAUUUUUAAGAAAGAGUGUGAGAACUUCACUCCUGUGAAACUUCUCAAGCAACAAUUGUAAUAACAUCUGAUGAAGAUAACUGAGUAGAUUUCCUUUCUUCAUUUCUAAUUUAAAUCAAAUGCUUUAGAUUAGAUUCAUUCUGCCCUUUAUGGCAAAUUGCCCUGUGACAAAUUGCAUAUUCUGUUUACAGUAAACUGCUAGCAACACAUUAAAGUAAUGAGACAGAGUUGAUGAUGAAACUACGCCUCAUUCGUUUCCGCAAAAGCCCUGCUCUGAAUAAAACUGCCU
rnacentral:lncRNA from 1 species